rnacentral:rRNA from 1 species
AUUGAACGCUGGCGGCAGGCUUAACACAUGCAAGUCGAGCGGAGCGAGGGUGCUUGCACCUUAGCUUAGCGGCGGACGGGUGAGUAAUGCUUAGGAAUCUGCCUAUUAGUGGGGGACAACAUUCCGAAAGGGAUGCUAAUACCGCAUACGCCCUACGGGGGAAAGCAGGGGAUCUUCGGACCUUGCGCUAAUAGAUGAGCCUAAGUCGGAUUAGCUAGUUGGUGGGGUAAAGGCCUACCAAGGCGACGAUCUGUAGCGGGUCUGAGAGGAUGAUCAGCCACACUGGUACUGAGACACGGCCCAGACUCCUACGGGAGGCAGCAGUGGGGAAUAUUGGACAAUGGGGGGAACCCUGAUCCAGCCAUGCCGCGUGUGUGAAGAAGGCCUUUUGGUUGUAAAGCACUUUAAGCGAGGAGGAGGCGCUCUAGGAUAAUACCCUAGAUGCGUGGACGUUACUCGCAGAAUAAGCACCGGCUAACUCUGUGCCAGCCGCCGCAGUAAAAC